ACGCUCGACACCUACGGAGGCAGCAGUAGGGAAUAUUGCGCAAUGGGGGAAACCCUGACGCAGCAACGCCGCGUGGAGGAUGACACUUUUCGGAGCGUAAACUCCUUUUCUUAGGGAAGAAUUCUGACGGUACCUAAGGAAUAAGCACCGGCUAACUCCGUGCCAGCAGCCACGGUAAUCUGAGCGGGCUGGCAAGGC
rnacentral:rRNA from 1 species